GAGUUUGAUCUUGGCUCAGGACGAACGCUGGCUGCGUGCUCAACACAUGCAAGUCGAACGCUGAAGCCUGAUGCUUGCACCGGGUGGAUGAGUGGCGAACGGGUGAGUAACACGUGAGUAACCCUACCCCUGACUUCGGGAUAAGCCCGGGAAACUGGGUCUAAUACCGGAUACGACUGCCGGACGCAUGUCUGGUGGUGGUAAAGUUUUUUCGGUUGGGGAUGGGCUCGCGGCCUAUCAGUUUGUUGGUGAGGUAAUGGCUCACCAAGACGACGACGGGUAGCCGGCCUGAGAGGGCGACCGGCCACACUGGGACUGAGACACGGCCCAGACUCCUACGGGAGGCAGCAGGUGGGGAAUAUUGCACAAGU
rnacentral:rRNA from 1 species